rnacentral:lncRNA from 1 species
ACGACGGGUGAGCGACGGUUGGGUUUCGGUGUCGAAAUAGACACUUCCGGGAACCCGGAUCUGAACGAUUAUUCGACGAUAAUUGUUUGGAGGCGUGAUCUUGUGUUUGCUGACAGGACACACAAAUAAUGGUGUUUAGUGGCAGCGGGUGACUUGUAGUACGAGUUGGUGAGUUCCGGGACGGUUCGUGGGUCCCGGCGGAGUCCCGGUGCAAUUUUCGGGACUUCCGGCGAGUUACGAUAGUCAGUUUUGGGAAACCGAUCUCCGUGGGAUUAUUGGUGGGAAUUGUGAGUUAGUGGUUCGUGUUUGUGGUUUAGAUGCUAACCCGGUGGAU